rnacentral:rRNA from 1 species
UACAGAGGGGGCAAGCGUUAUUCGGAAUUAUUGGGCGUAAAGGGCGCGUAGGCGGUUCUUCAAGUCUCUCGUGAAAUCCCUCGGCUUAACUGAGGACGUGCGGGAGAUACUGAAGGGCUUGAGUCCGGAAGAGGGUGGUGGAAUUCCCAGUGUAGCGGUGAAAUGCGUAGAUAUUGGGAGGAACACCGGUGGCGAAGGCGGCUCACUGGCCCGGUACUGACGCUGAGGAACGAAAGCCAGGGGAGCAAACGGG